rnacentral:rRNA from 1 species
AAGCUCUUUUGUCAGGAAAGAAAUCCUAUUCGCUAAUACCGAGUGGGGAUGACGGUACCUGAAGAAUAAGCACCGGCUAACUACGUGCCAGCAGCCGCGGUAAUACGUAGGGUGCGAGCGUUAAUCGGAAUUACUGGGCGUAAAGCGUGCGCAGGCGGUUGUGCAAGACAGAUGUGAAAUCCCCGGGCUUAACCUGGGAAUUGCAUUUGUGACUGCACGGCUAGAGUGUGUCAGAGGGGGGUAGAAUUCCACGUGUAGCAGUGAAAUGCGUAGAGAUGUGGAGGAAUACCGAUGGCGAAGGCAGCCCCCUGGGAUAACACUGACGCUCAUGCACGAAAGCGUGGGGAGCAAACAGGAUUAGAUACCCUGGUAGUCCACGCCCUAAACGAUGUCAACUAGUUGUCGGGUCUUAAUUGACUUGGUAACGCAGCUAACGCGUGAAGUUGACCGCCUGGGGAGUACGGUCGCAAGAUUAAAACUCAAAGGAAUUGACGGGGACCCGCACAAGCGGUGGAUGAUGUGGAUUAAUUCGAUGCAACGCGAAAAACCUUACCUACCCUUGACAUGUACGGAACCCUGCUGAAAGGUGGGGGUGCUCGAAAGAGAGCCGUAACACAGGU